rnacentral:lncRNA from 1 species
GCCUGGGGGCUGCUCCGGCUGCACAGAGCGAUGGCUGGGCUGUCUUUGCAGCUGAGAAGAGAAGCUGAUCACUUCCAGUGACAGAGCAACUGCACUUUCUUCAUGCCAGGAUCACUGAGGCUUUGCGUCUGGGGAGGCGGAGAACUGCAUCUUCAAAAUAUGCAAAAGGCAAGAUACUAUGCAAAAGUGAGAACUCAGCUUGAACCUGCUGUCUCCAAGAUCAGAAUCGUAUUAGCAGAAACCAGAGGGGGAAAAAAGCAAGGACUGAAGAAAGUUCACUGUGCUGCUGUUGCAGAAAAGAGAAAUCCAAUCCUAGGUUGUCAUGAGGAGAAGAUGGUGUGUUGGCGUAACAGAGAGAAACCUACCAGAGAAAUUAUCAGCACUGUGGCAAAUGUCAUCCCCACCACGGAAGAACACCCCAAAUUGCCCUGAUGUAACUUAGUCUUCAUUUUACCACCUUUCCUGAGGCUGGAGGCUCAGUAAUGAGCCUUGUAAAUUUUCUGUUUUCAAAUCUAGGCAGGGGAUUUGUUUUUCUUGAGCGAGGUGCCAAUGCUAUUUCAUGCUGUGCAGCUUCCAGUAUUUUCUUAAGUGCCUUGAGAGGCUUGGCACGAAGGGCACUAUGGAAAUGUAGUUUUAACUGAUAGCUUCCAACUUCUGCCUUGUAACCUACCUUCAAAAUUAGGAAUUUUAGCAGAAACAGAGGUGCUCCUUUCCCUGCGUGCAAGCAGAACUGUACUCCCCGCAGCCCACACAGUGAAACAUUUCAGCUGAAUGUGGAGUGCCUGGAGAGCAAUGUGACACCCCUGUCAGGCUGGUCACCAACACCCCCAUUCAUCUAUCACUACGAGUGGCACAAAUUUAAAACAAACCCCUCACCCUCCUCUAUGCCCAUAUUACAAGACAUGCCAGAUAUUUCUCUUUCAGCCAGGCAGCUAACUCUGAGGCCUGGCUUACAGCGUCCAUCCCCAUCACAGAAAUAUGGUACAACAAAGUGGGGGAGAACUAUCCCAGCUACCCACAGAGGUCAGCCGUAAUCACAGCUUCAAAUUCAUUAAUAAAUGAGUGUACCAGAGCUCA